GCGGUAAAAGCUCAAAUUUGAAAUCUGGUACUUUCAGUGCCCGAGUUGUAAUUUGUAGAAUUUGUCUUUGAUUAGGUCCUUGUCUAUGUUCCUUGGAACAGGACGUCAUAGAGGGUGAGAAUCCCGUUUGGCGAGGAUACCUUUUCUCUGUAAGACUUUUUCGAAGAGUCGAGUUGUUUGGGAAUGCAGCUCAAAGUGGGUGGUAAAUUCCAUCUAAAGCUAAAUAUUGGCGAGAGACCGAUAGCGAACAAGUACAGUGAUGGAAAGAUGAAAAGAACUUUGAAAAGAGAGUGAAAAAGUACGUGAAAUUGUUGAAAGGGAAGGGCAUUUGAUCAGACAUGGUGUUUUUUGCAUGCACUCGCCUCUCGUGGGCUUGGGCCUCUCAAAAAUUUCACUGGGCCAACAUCAAUUCUGGCAGCAGGAUAAUCAUUAAGAAUGUAGCUACUUCGGUAGUGUUAUAGCUUUUUGGAAUACUGUUAGCCGGGAUUGAGGACUGCGC
rnacentral:rRNA from 1 species